UACGGAGGGGGCUAGCGUUGUUCGGAAUUACUGGGCGUAAAGCGCACGUAGGCGGAUUGGAAAGUUGGGGGUGAAAUCCCGGGGCUCAACCCCGGAACUGCCUUCAAAACUCCCAGUCUGGAGGUCGAGAGAGGUGAGUGGAAUUCCGAGUGUAGAGGUGAAAUUCGUAGAUAUCAGGAGGAACACCGGUGGUGUAGACGGCUCACUGGACCGUAACUGACGCUGAGACACGAAAGCGUGGGUAGCAAACAGG
rnacentral:rRNA from 1 species